rnacentral:rRNA from 1 species
CCUACGGGAGGCAGCAGUGGGGAAUAUUGGUCAAUGGGCGCAAGCCUGACCCAGCAACGCCGCGUGCAGGAAGAAGGCUUUCGGGUUGUAAAAUUCUUUUAUGAGGGACGAAACAACUGACGGUACCUCCUGAAUAAGCCACGGCUAACUACGUGCCAGCAGCCGCUGUAAUCCGUAUGUGGCAGUCGUUAUCAGGAUUUACUGGGUGUAAAGGGUGUGUAGGCGGGACUGCAAGUCAGAUGUGAAAAUGAUGGGCUCAACCCAUAACUUGCAUUUGAAACUGUAGGUCUUGAGUGAUGGAGAGGUAGGCGGAAUGCGUGGUGUAGCGGUGAAAUGCGUAGAGAUAAGGAGGAACACCAGUGGCGAAGGCGGCCUGCUGGACAUUAACUGACGCUGAGGCGCGAAAGCGUGGGGAGCAAACAGGAUUAGAUACCCGGGUAGUC